UUGUCUGAGAGACUGCAGAGAUUUCGUGUUCAAAGGGAAAGGCAAAGCCUCUGGCAUCUCAGAUCCCACGCUGCUGUUACUGCUGGCAACGGGUUGUUUUAAACACCUGGCGGAUAUUCCUGGAGAAGGCAGUGAAGUCCCCGGGUUUCUCAAAAAACAACAAAACACCCCAAAACCCUGAGAGCUGGCCUGAAGGUUUUUUGCUGAAGGAAUGAAUGCAGAUACCUGCAUUGUGACCAUUAACAAACAGUGAAAAGUGUGGACAUUGUGGAUCACUUGAUGAAAUUCCUUCUGUGCAUUAUCAAAGGAACCAAGAGAUAGCUUUUCCAAGAAGAAAUCAGUCGGUUUGGAAUAAAACCAACAAACCUCCUUAGGCCAAGGUUUAGGCUGGGUUCUCAACAGCUCCCCUGCGGCCCAGGGAGGCAACAUUCCCCUGUAAAACAGAGCCCAAGCUUAACUUACAACAGUCUGCUUCAUCUUCAGGUGAAAGUUCUUCAAAAGGAAGGUUUGGAUGAAGGGAAUGCAGAAGGACAACUGCAGGUUCCUUUCACAAAAAAAAAAAAAAAAAUCUUUCUCUAGCAAAAAGAAAUAAACCAUCACACCCCUUUGAGAGGCAGUUUACACUGCAACAGGUACCAUCACUACAAAAUCACAUGUAUUAAACCCUUUUCCAUCUUGAUUUCACUGUACAAAAUCACAUGGAGGCAAUGGGGAGAAGAGGAUUUGGCACAUGAAACAAGAAGUGGACCAGGCUGCCAGGAAAACAGCAAUGAGAGAAAACUUUGCUGCUGUCUGAGAAAAGUUAACAAGUACACACUGCAGAUGUGCCACUCUCACAGCACUAAGUGAAAACAGAUUACCUGCCACUGAACACCCAACACCUCCACAGAGGAAGGUGGGGGAAGCGUCUCUCCAGUGACAAGUUUUGAUUUGUGGAUUAAAUUCCCCUCUUAAUUGAGCCAUGCUUCUUCUGCUAACAAAUUCAUGUGGAAACCCCAGGAUAAAUUUACCUCUCUGCAGAGGAACUUUUCCUCACGUCACAUCCUCCCCUUUCUUUCUCCUUAUUUCAUUAAGAUUUUGAGCUAUACGUACAAAGCCUUCAUCACAAACGCUCAUUAUGGAAAUACUGCAAACCCAGAAGAUGUCACAGUCGUUUCUUUUACAGCUUUUCUUUUUGUAGGUGACAUUCAUAUUGCAGAAUAAUUUAGACAGUAAUUUAAUCACAGGGUUUAGAGGUCCAGCAAAUGUUACAUUUACAUAAUGUCAGUCUUUCAGCAGAUAAUUUGGUCCUUUGCAUGUGUUAAGAGACGACAUCGCUUGUUAAGUUCAUGUUAGUACGUUUAACCCAGCAGAUGAAUGGCUGGUUCCUUAAUCUGCCAUAUAUUUCUAAUUUUCCUAAGGAUGAUUAGAAAAUUUUAUUUAGAGUAAAUUCAUGAGCACAGUCAUUCCACUGGAGUGACAAAUCAAAAAGAUUAUUAAAUCUCAGGGUCCAGAAAUCUCCAUAAAAU